GUUUAGAGCAUACGUGAGUUUGAGCUUGAAAUUGGAUUUGUGUGGGUUUUGGGGGUAAGAAAUGGUCCGGGCUAUGGUGAUUUCUGGGUCGAUUCUUGCGAUGACGGAUUUGAUUAGCGAACAGACGCUGAAAUGGUUGGGUUUUCGUUGUCUUCUUAGCUUUUGUUGCCGGAUUCUGUUGGAGGGUGGUUAUGGUUGAGGGUGAUUCGAGGGUGGUUGUAGGCAGCUGAUUUACCACAGGGAAGAUAGUGGGCUAUUGGAAUUUGCAGACCUUGAUCAACUGGAGAGCCCUGAUUUACAUGUUGAUUCAGUUAGAAUGAUGAGUUUGCUUAGGAAGGUUAGAAAGAUUAUUGAUGCUAUUGGAAUUUGCAGACCUCGAUCAACUGGAGGCUUUGAAGAUGUAUAAAUGGGUUGUAAGGGGUGAGUCCAUGUGGGCACGCCAGGUCACAACUCUUUUGCCACGUAGGAUUAAAAACCUAACUGAGUUAGUGAUUUUUUAACGACAGGGUGACAGGUACACCAAAGUGUCCAGUUGGGGGUGGUGGGAGCCCAUUUGAAAGUUGGGCGUGGUAUUAGCCAAUUUUGUAUAGUUUAGGGUGAUAUAGUCCAUUUCCCC